UUGAACGCUGGCGGCAUGCCUUACACAUGCAAGUCGAACGGUAACAGGUCUUCGGAUGCUGACGAGUGGCGAACGGGUGAGUAAUACAUCGGAACGUGCCUAGUAGUGGGGGAUAACUACUCGAAAGAGUAGCUAAUACCGCAUGAGAUCUACGGAUGAAAGCAGGGGACCUUCGGGCCUUGUGCUACUAGAGCGGCCGAUGGCAGAUAGGUAGUUGGUGGGAUAAAAGCUUACCAAGCCGACGAUCUGUAGCUGGUCUGAGAGGACGACCAGCCACACUGGGACUGAGACACGGCCCAGACUCCUACGGGAGGCAGCAGUUGGGAAUUUUGGACAAUGGGCGAAAGCCCGAUCCAGCAAUGCCGCGUGCAGGAUGAAGGCCUUCGGGUUGUAAACUGCUUUUGUACGGAACGAAAAAGCUCCUUCUAAUACAGGGGGCCCAUGACGGUACCGUAAGAAUAAGCACCGGCUAACUACGUGCCAGCAGCAGCCGCGGUAA
rnacentral:rRNA from 1 species